rfam:Candidate division KSB1 bacterium RBG_16_48_16 RBG_16_scaffold_185852, whole genome shotgun sequence.
GGUGUCGUGAGAUUCCGUCUAAAGGAAGCCUGUAGCAAAGCGACGAGCCGACGAACAGAAACGCCAUAGAAGGCUGAGUCCGCGGGCGAGUUAGCACAAGAUAACAAAGCCCGGUGAUCCGAGUUGGAUACGGUAAAUGGCGCGGUUGUGUCGCGAAAGUUCAUGUU